AGGAAGGAAGGAAGGAAGGAAGGAAGGAAGGAAGGAAGGAAGGAAGGAAGGAAGGAAGGAAGGAAGGAGUAUUUAAUAAUGAGGCUUUGUCAGCUGCAGCAGCGGAGCGACGGCACCGGUCAAGAGUGGCUCUCUUCGACCCCGUGCGCUCGGGGUGACACUGCGCGGUCUCCGAGGCUGAUGUUUAAUGGGAGGGGGAAAACGCCACAACCAGAGCCAUCGUUUGGCUGCGAGAGGGGCAGCGGCCGGAGCCCCGCUCUGCCCCAGCGCUGCCCACAGCCCUCUCCCCGCACACGGCGGUUCAGGAGCUCGGCGUGGGGCAUUGCCCUGUUUGAUGGGGCUGCGCUGGUGGUGCUCGGCGCGCCGGGUCAGCGGCGCAGAUGCCAGAGGGUCUAUUAGGAUUAAGUGACCUAAUGAAUCGCAUGGCCAUGGCCAUUAGCGGGCUUUGAAAGAAGGCAGUUUUCCUCGUUACCUCCCCCUCUGCCUCUUAACACGGGCAAUUAUUUUUAACUGUCCUUCAAUCAGAGGUCGGAGGGGGGCUUUUUUUUCCCUCUUUUUUUUUGCUUGCUCGUUUAAAGCCGCUCCCUGAUGCUCAGUCUCAAGCAUUUCCAGGAGCAGCCUUUUCUUAUCGGGGUUCCUCGACGGCCACACGGAGCGGGGAGGCCCCGCGGCACUCGGGGCGGAGCUGGGGACACUCCUGGCGUGGCCGUGUCCCGGUGCCCCUCCCGCCGAGGCAGGUAAGCGCCAGCCUUCCCAUGUGCGGGCGGUGCGCGGGGGGACCGAAGGUGGGCGCGGCUCAGCUGUUGGCUCCGACGGGGACAACCCGAACUAAAAUUAUGCCGUGGAGGAGGUGAACUAUUCACCCCGAGUUUAUCCUGUCACAUUUUAAACUUGAAAGAAAGAAAGAAAGAAAGAAAGAAAGAAAGAAAGAAAGAAAGAAAGAAAGAAAGAGAGAGAGAGAGAGAGAGAAAGAAAGAAAGAAAGAAAGAAAGAAAGAAAGAAAGAAAGAAAGAAAGAAUUUAAAAAGAGGAAAAAAAAAAAAAAAAAAAAAAAAAAAAGAUCGACCAGAGCAUGCUGGGAACAGAGGAGACCUCAGGUUUUUGGCCUGGGAGAGCGUCUGCGGGGCUGGACUCGUGCCUUGUGCCCGGCCCCAGAGGCACCGCACCUGCCGAGGCGGGGCGGGUGCCAGCGGCGGAGGCAACGCGAGGUGUCCGCCGGAGGGGGAGGAACGCCCCGGCCCGCCCGACUUGAAAAGCCUCCACGUUCCCAUCGCUUUUUCAAUCCGCAAUACAUUUCACACCCUGUUAGGAGUUACUGCCGCCGAAACCGCUAAACGCUUCCAUGACUGCAGGUAGGGCCCGCCGGGGGCUGUGGGGCCGGGGGGGCCGAAGUGGGGGUUGCGCGGCAGGGACCGGAUUCCGGCUGGGAAUCCUUCGAGUGCUCCGUGCUGGGAGAGCGCACAUUCGGGCUGUCCGUGAGGUACAGGGAGGGGAACACCCGGGUAUGUCGUCGGGAGGGGCCGAGGGAUGUUGCCAACUUUGACUCCUUGCUAAGUAAUAAGGUGACUCGAUGAGGGGAGGUCCAGGUGCCAGCCCCGAGGUGAAGAGGGGAGUCGGGUCUUGUUCGCAGCCGGCGGAUUAUUAUUACUAUUGUUAUUAUUAUUACUAUUUUGGAAGCCACCGGGGGAACUGCUUUUGGCUCCGUGCGGCAGCCCAGCGCCUCUCCCCGAUCCAACAGCCGGGCGGGGUGGGAGCGGCGAAGCGAACAUCAGCAGAGCCGCCGCCGGGUGGCCGGGGCGGGCCCUCAUUACAAGGUGCGACCCGCGGAGAGCUGUCACCGCCCGCAGCCACAGGCAUCCGUCCGCGGGGCAGGUAACGGGCGGCUCCGGGGCUCGCAGCGCCCCUCCCCAGCCCCCGGGUGCCGCAUCCUUCCCCCGCAGCCUCACACCGGAGCGGAGCUUCCCUGUCCCGGAGCUCAGCAGCUCUCGGAGAGAAACGUGACAAAACCUCGGUGGCUAAAAAACAAAACAAAACAAAACAAAGCAAAACAGCGGUGCUUUUAGUUUUUAGAUUGCUUUUAGUUUCGUUUAGUUCUUUUAUUUUAUUAAUUUAAUUUAUUUCGUUCCGUUCGGUUCAAUUUGCCUCUCCUCUUUAUCUAUUGCUUUGGUGCCGGCUCUGACCCUCAGCCUACGGCUCCACACCCGGCGCUCGGUGGGGAGGGGGCACGGAGCCCCACGCGGCUGUGCGUGUGUGGAAAUAGCCGUACAGAUCUGCACGUACCGUUAAUAGACACCAAAUCAAUACCAACGAACGUAUAUUGCAUUAUUUCAGCUGGCUUAUUGAAUAAGAGAAUCAGCCCUGAAACUUGCCUUUAUUUGCAUCGUGAGCUCCGAGAACUGCAAUAAAUCUGGUGUAUUAAAACAUAAACAUAAAUAAGGUAUAUUUAAACACGCAUUUUACAUAUUAAACGUAUAGAAAACAUAUGAUACAUAUAAACAUGCGUCAAUGAACACGCACAGUGGGACGUGAUGCGAUGCUGUGCGAUGGGAUGUGAUGCGAUCGACGUGACGUGAUACGAUGCGUGCCCCCCCUCGAGCGCUGCCCCCCCUUCUUCCCCCCCCUCCCCUCGCAGCCCGUGAGAGCGAGGCGGUGAUUUCCCUGCCCGGCGCCGCGUUGAGGUCAGGGUGAGGGAGAACCAGGCGGCCCCCCGCCCGGCAUGGGGAACUGCUGAGCGCUGGAGGAACCGCCAGGCCGCGGGUGGUUGGCGGAGAGAAAGGGAAAGAUGGUGGCUUCCAAAAGGCAUGUUAUAUCCGGCUCUUCCCUGCAGCAGUGAAGCUUAUCACAGGUUGCAAGGAGAACCUGGAGUUACUGGCAGAAGGAAAAUGCACAUAUAUACAUAGGAAGGGAAGGGAGGGGAAGGAGAAGAAAGCAAAAGAAGAAAGGAAAAGAAAGGAAAAGAAAAGAGUGGGGGAAAAAAAGGGAAAGAAGAAAGGAAAGGAAAGGAAAGGAAAGGAAAGGAAAGGAAAGGAAAGGAAAGGAAAGGAAAGGAAAGGAAAGGAAAGGAAAGGAAAGGAAAGGAAAGGAAAGGAAAGGAAAGGAAAGGAAAGGAAAGGAAAGGAAAAAAAGAAAUUAAGAGAAGAGCAGAGAAAAAAAGAAAAGAAAAGGAAAAUAAAAGAAAAGGAAAAGAAAAGAAAAGAAAAGAAAAGAAAAGAAAAGAAAAGAAAAGAAAAGAAAAGAAAAGAAAAGAAAAGAAAAGAAAAGAAAAGAAAAGAAAAGAAAAGAAAAAAAGAAAAGAAAAGAAAAGAAAAGAAAAAGAAAAGGAAAGAAAAGAAAAGGAGAGAAAAGGAAAGAAAAUGAAAGAAAAGGAAAGAAAAGAAAGGAAAAGAAAAGAAAAGAAAAGAAAAGAAAAGAAAAGAAAAGAAAAGAAAAGAAAAGAAAAAGGAGUGAUCAGAAUGGGAGAGACCACUGGAGGAAACGGACAAACGAACCGCGGAAUGAAGUCCCUUUUCGGUGCAUUUCGUUCGUCCUUCCUUUCGCAAGGCUAUCCCUUGCCUCUCGGCACAGGACAUCGGCUCAGCGCUCUCGUUCUCAACAUUAAUGCGGCACUGACCGUGUCUUUCAUACACCUCGAGAAGCACGGAAGAACGGGCAUUUUCCCAACCUUUUUUUUUCUUGCUCCCAUAACUGCAGAAUACUAAAGAGAUGGAUUAAGGUUCCCAUCUGCUCUUCAUGCAGCGUGCUCCAGUCGGUCACUUAGCUAAAAGCAGAGCAAAAAUUAAACACACGGCCACCAACAAAAGGAAAAAAUAACUAUAAGAACAAAACCAAAAGCAAACCAAAGGCAGCCGCUUUGGCUGUUGGUAUUUAUUUUUUUUCCCGACGGUUUCCUUACACGAAGAGCCGGGAGUGGGCACAUAGCGAGACAGAGAACUGCCGAGCUCCGCCGGCUGACGAAGGGAUUUCGGGAGCGCUCCCUUCCUGCGGGUGUGGGGGGUGGGGGUUGGGGGGGGGGCGUCGCGCUGUAGCGCAGGUACGGGGUCAGGAGCUCCCGCGGGGCACGGCUGCCACCGCCGCAGGGGCUGCCCGCGGGGACAGCCCUGGGAUGCGGCGAGCGGCGUCGUCUGGAGGAGCAGUGGGAGGGGGGAGCUCUGGGCUAACGGCGCCUGGGAAAAAAGGGGUGGGGGGGGGGCAGAGGAGGAGGGGAUGGAUGGGGGGCAGUGGAAGAAAGAAAAAAAGAAAAGAAGGAAAAACAAAGAGGAAAAAAUGGGGAAAAAAGAAAAUAGGAAAGAAAAAAAAAGGAAAAAAAAAGAAGGAACAAAAAGAAAAUAAAAGAAAAAGGAGGAAAAAAAUGAGAAAAGUGGAAAAAGAAAAAGAAGGCGAAAAAGAAAGAAAGGAGAUAAUGUAGAGGUAAAAGCAGAAAAGGAGGGAAAGGAAAAGACGAAGGAGAAAAAGGAGGAAAAGAGCAAGAAAGAAAAAGGGAAAGUAAUAGAAAAAGGAAAAGAAAAAGAAGGAAAAAGAAAAAAGAAAAGCAAAACUAAAGAGAGGAAAAGCGUGAAAAUAAAAAGGCAAACAGGGAAAAGGAAAAAAAAAAAAGGAAGAAAAGGAAAAAAAGGAAAAAAAGGAAGAAAAGGAAGAAAUGGAAAAGCGCCCUGUGCGCGCUGCAGGAGUGUCUGCCCAGAGCGGGGCUGCGGUGCGGUGCGGUGCUCGGGGCUGGCAGCGGCCGUCACCGGGUGAGGAUCCGGCCCCGCGCCUUCCCAUGAGCCGAACCCGACAUCAAAGGGCACGCGAUAGCAAUGUGGAGCGCACAUGGGCGGCUCGCGAGCCCGUCUGUCAAGCCACGUUUCCUGGUGCUCCCUGCCCUCCGCCCGGCAGCCCGAGCCCCCCGGACGCGGGGCAGCAGAAGCACUCGGGAGCUCCGGGCGGGCUGCGCACCCGCGGCGUCCCGAAGCCAUCCCGGGGAGCCGCCCGCUGCCUUUGCUCCUCCAUGGGACGCGAGGACGAGCUGCGAGUUAAUAGCCAUUGUCAUCCAGGGGUGGUUUCAAUUAUCUUUUGGGGCCUCUCCAGACUUAACUCGUCUUCUGCCACUUUGCCGCGCAACCCGGGCACCGGUCCAACAUCCCUCUCCGAGGCAGCCUUGCAAGCGGCACCUCACCUGCUGGCAGCCACCGGCCCCGCCAGCCCGCUGCUCAGCCCGGCCGGCAAACGUCGGGGCCCACGUCCCCCCGCCGCCCUCCUGCUCGGCCAUUGCGGGUGGCCCCGGGGCUCUCCGGGGCCGGAGACGCAGCGGGAUGCGAGAUGGGCUGUGAUGGGAGACCAAGGAAGAUUUUCAGGCUUUGCACUGUCUGAGAGUGGAGGCAGGAAGUGAAAUUAAGACCAUUCGGCUCUGCAUGAGCAUUCAAGAAACCGGUCUUCUAAACAUUUUCGUUAAGAAAUUAAAGGAAGUUUCUGUUUAGGGUGGAACCAGGAGUUUGUGCUAUAUCCUAACGACGACAAAUUUCUACCAUUCUUCAGAAACUUUUUCAUUCCUUCACCCCACAAUGUUUAGGAGAAUUAUAGGCAUAGAGCAGGAGGUGUCUGUGCACCCAUUUACGCACCGCUGUGUGCAGUGGUACGUACUGCAUAUUGAUGUGUGUGUGCUCAUUUCUCUCUGCCGCAGUGAAUCUUGAGGAAAACUUAGAUGUUGUGAUGAUUCUGAGACACAGUACUUUGUAAGGGUCACUGCAAUGCUUCACGUCGUCUACACCCAGAGAACUCCUAUGACGUAACUGAGACACAAGUCCAGAUCACAGACGUGCCAUCACUGGGGAUUAGGUGGAAAUCUGGUGUUUGAAUGCAAACUCUCUCUUUCAUGUUGUUUUUACCAUGCAGUCCUCAGCACCAGGGAAGGCUCUGAGGUGCCUGAAGCUCUGCUGCACACAUGCGCUGGAAGCCUUUUGCUCCUGACAGGGCUGAGUGCAUAUCUCACACCUAACCCCAUCCGGAUGCACAGACAAAGCAUUCCUCCUCCCGAGGGGCUGCAGGGCCACGCAUGUGCGAGACACGCUCGUGCAGGCGGGCUCUGAAAGCAGUGUGGUGGCACUGCAGCACAGUGGGGACAGAGUGGUGGGAGCAGGAGGCGCGAUACCUCAGAGGCACCAGGACAGAGCGGGCACGGGAUGGGCACUGCUGGCAUGAGCAUACUGCUGGAGCCCCAUAGCCCAUCUGUACUGCUCAGUGUGGAAGAACCCAAAGGCACAACCCCAAGCACCUCCUUCUGCUGGGGCUACUGGGACUUCUGCUUGAAUAAGGAAUGGAGCGUGGGCUCCAAUAAGAGACAUUUUAAAGCAGCCUGAACCACGUCUUCCUUCUGUGCAUGUCAGUGCAGCCUGUCAAAGCCAUUCAUUCCUAUAAAUAUUUUAAGAGUCCAGUGAUGGUGCUGAAAUGGAAGUCUCAGCUCCCUGUGCUGGCAGCCAUGCUGAUGUUUCCUAGAAUACACAGAGCUGAGUGAAGGAGGGUGUUGUGGGGAGGUUCAGUUCCUGGUUAAAAAAAGGGAAGAGGAAGCACAGCACUGUGUGCCCAGGGCCUUAAUCCCUCCCAUCCCCACCCCCUAUUAAUUCAACCACACAAUUUGUAAUCAUUCAUAGCAGUUGGAAUUGUCUUGAGUUUUAAAAGGCUUUUCUCAUUAACCAGCCCUUUAUUCCUUGCAAAGCACAUUAUUGAUCUUAAUAUGCAGAAAAUGCCAUCGCUAGCAUAAUGUCUGUGCCAUUUUUGUUGAACAAUGAGAAUUGAUGAGGCUUGGCAGGACAUUAAAAUAUUUAACAUUAUAGCUUUGAGAAGACUUUUAUGUGUCUAUAGUAAUAGGAAAAUCUUUUAACAGGAAAAAUGUUUUCCUCUGCUUCACUACAGUCUUCAGCGAGGGCUGAUUCUGUUUGUACUAAACCCAAUGGGAGGUUUCUUACUGACUUCAAAGGAGAGGAGGGGAACUCCAGUUUGGAAAAUCAUUGCUAGAAGCAAAUCUGAGCCUUCUGGUCACGUGAUCAGUGCCAUUUAAAUUAGCGUUUUGUGACACUCCCUGGGGCUGGGACCUUCAGCUUUGCCUCGGGAGAUGGAGUAUUGAGGAGAUGCCAAGAGGUGGCUGUGCAGCUCCUCACCAACCCAUCGUUUAAAGGCACGUGUGAUGGAUCAGGAGCCACCCAGGGGCAGCUAUCAACCUAUGUUCCUUGCCCCUAAGAGUCUCCUUCGGAGGCACAUUUUGAUGUAACUGCUCAGUUUUUCUGCUUUUGCUGUCCAAACCACCACUGACUUUUGAGGUUUUAACUCAGGCAGUGUGGCUGAUUUUCUGUCUUUACAGCAUUAUUUGCAGGGUACAGAACUCAGGAGAAGUUGUAGGGGAGAGGAGAGGGCAUUCAAAAAACAGACCAUUACUUCAUAGAUCUUUACAAGACCCGAACAGGCCCACAUCUGGACUGAGGAGCGGAGAUGAUGGAGAGCGAGGAAUCGGCUGCAAGCAGCCUGCUUCACAGGCACUCCUGGAUGGGUCACCCCAUGCCUGCGAGCAAUGGGUCAGGGCAGUGCUGUCAAUAACAUGGUGUUGUAUGUAAAGCUGGGAGCACAGAGUCCCACACCGUUGUAUGUGCUCAGCAAAGCUCCCAUUUGCCUCCAGGAGAAUUCUGCCUAUGUAAGGACUUAAGAGCCAUUGCUAGGAGCUAAGAAAAGAGCAUUAUUAAUUCACUUCAUCGCUGGCUCAGUGAAAGCCAACAGCUUUCUGCAGUCUUGCCAAAAUGAAGAGGAGAUGGUCUGAGGUACAUGCAGGGUGAUUUUCAUACCGAAGGUGAGAAAGGAGAAAUCGUUUUAAGGUACGGUAACUUGCCGUACAAACGUGAUCUGUGUUCCCUCCCAGCUUUGAAAGGAGACUUUAUAAACUCUGUGGCCUUUGAUUUGUUAAGGCAACCUUAUACUUAUUUUUUUUAAUUCCCAAGUUUGUGAGAAAAUAGAAAGGAACCCUUGAUGUUCUUAUGCUCUCGAUUAUCACUUCAUUGUAGAAGUAUUUGCUUAAUGAAACAUACAGCAAAUAUUGCACUGUAAAACCUGUUGCAAUGUACUCAAUAUCUUUUGGAAUUAAUAGAAAAAAAAAUACAAGACUGCAGAAAAGGCACUAAUUUUUAUUUUAUCUAAUAAAAAUGUUACUUGACUGCAAAGCACUUUGCUUUAUUUUCUCACUUAUAUUGUAUAUAUUUGAAGAGAAAUGUCUGCUGCACGUCAUCUAUCUAACACAAAAAACUGAUGCUGUUAUUAAUAAGUUACAGAGAAAAAUAAACCAGUUUGCACUUUGAUUUUUAUCAUUCCUAGUGAGCGAUUCCUUUGGAAUAAACAUAACUCUAACACAUGUAAACAACACAGGAAAUUAAUAACAAAAUUCUUUGGAUUUAUUUCAGAUGCCACAUACUUUAUGUAAAUAUAUGCGGCUUUCAAUUUCAAUGAUUUUCCAGUAAGUAAUAAACUUUGCUCAUUAACCUCCUUUUAAACUAAACAUUUAUUACUUUAUAAGUGUUAUUUCAACUAAAUCAAGUGGAUAUGCUCAGUAAAUGAAUGCAACAAAUCUGCUCAGCCAGAGAAGCAGGAUAGCUUCUUUUCAGCUGGGCAUACUGUGAGUUUCUUCUUCAGCUUCAAGGGAGUGGGAUGCAGCUUAAUUUGCUGAUUUUUCAUGUUAAAAAAAAAGAAAAAAAAAAAGGUUGGUAAUACAUAUAUAUUUUAAAAUAAACCUACUUUUUCCUCAUUAGCUCAGUGGUAGAAAACGGGAAAAAUUCCACAAGCUGAAUGAAGUUACAUAUCAUCUCAGUACCAUGAGCCUUGUGUUCAGUUUUUCACAGAACUGGUUUGGUGGAAUGGCCAGGUAUCAAUCUUCUCUUGGCAUGAUGUGUGGGGUAUCUUUUAGGGAAACAGUCCUCUUAAGUGCAUGAUUUUAAGAAUAUUAAGGCAGAAAUGUGUUUCAAUUUCUGUACAAGUACGAAAAAACACACACUAAGAAACAUUCUGCUCUCAUAUUUACGAUUAUGUGUUUGCUGAAAAGUUGUUAGCAUUGGGCUCUGUGGAGGUGGCUGCAUGCCCACUUAAUCACAGGGGUGUGGACGAAGCCCUGCCAUACUGUGCAGGUUUGGGUGAGGACACUGCAGGACCCUGGACGCCUCCCUUACCCAAGAAACUAGAAGCAAAUUGGGACACUCAGGGACACAACAGAACCACCCACUUCUGAGCCCAAACUGGAUGGAGGUGCUCGGCCAGCCUCAGCUCCUUUCCCACAGAAAAAGCCCAAGGAAAAGAGUGGUGCUGGCACCAUGGGCUGCAGCAGCACAGGGCUGCCAGCACUGGGGCCAGCGAGACGCUGCCUUUCUCUGAGUGCCUUAGAUAUCGGAGCACGGCUGAAUAUUCAACAUGAGUGCUAGGCUUCUGGGUUUUAUCUCUUAAUGAGGCACAGGCUAUCCUUGAGGGACACUGAAUCAUCACAUUUCUCGCACACCAGAUUGCAACCAGCAGCGCUUAUUUGAGGGACUGCCUUGUCCAGAAGUCUGCAUAAGGCGAUCUUAGAUCUGAUUACAGAAGUCAAGCACUAAAAUCUAUUAACUCAGCUAUAAGAUUUUUCAGUUUCUUCUGUUUUUAUUUUGUUUGGUUCAAUUGGAUUUGCUUCAGACAUGACUCAUUUCCACUUCCUGCAUCUCCACAAUAGUUCCUGCAAGACCCUCAGCCAUGGAGCAUGGCUUGCACCCACUUCAAACACAAAGCAGUCUCAUUUCUAUUUUGCAGACUGAGGCUUCAUUUAAAUUAUACAUGGCAGGCCAGAGGGUGUGUAGUGCAUGUCCUUGGUUCCGUUAGUAGACUGAAAAGAAAACUACAAAGAAAAAAAGAAACAAAAAAAAUACUCUGGAUAUAUAAAGGGAGAAGUCAAACUCCAAAAGCUCUCAGGAAAUCAAAUUCUUCAGUCACGAGAAAAGUGACAUUAUCCAAAUGAAAUCUUAACAUAGCAUGGAAAUGUGAUGAAGAGUGUGGCUGGUAUUCUCAGUGAGGGUAUAGACAUGUAUGUAAAUAUAAUUAAAUUGGGAACACAUUAGAGGGAUUAAGGAGAUCUGCGUAGCACUAGAAGAAAGAAGCAACAGAUGUAACUGCUAACAAUAAAGGAAGGGAUUUCUGGCCAAAGUUCAAGGUUUUCUUGCACCCAAGCCCAUUGUUGCGAAUGAAUGGGGACACAGUAAAUAACUUGUACUGACUUGUAGAUCCAACGUCUUGCUGUUGUUGUUCAUGAUCUAGCUACCAUUUACCAACAUGCUGGUUUUUAUAAAUGAGUUCCUUCAGCAAACACACAACGCAGAUGUACUUUCAUCUAGGCAGCGCCAUUGCUCUAUUAAAACGAGAUGCUGCAGUUGCUGCAAGAUUGGUGGUGACCAAAAAGCAACAACAACUGAAGACGCCCAUAAAUUUCUGAGCCCUUAUUGGAAGGUUUCCAGCAACAGAGGGACCCGAACACCCACAAGGCUGAUCUUCAGGCUUCAAAAGAGGUCCAGGCAUCGUGCCAUAGAUAGGCUUCUCUCUGUG
ensembl:lncRNA